AGAGUUUGAUCAUGGCUCAGAUUGAACGCUGGCGGCAUGCCUUACACAUGCAAGUCGAACGGUAACAGGUCUUUCGGGAUGCUGACGAGUGGCGAACGGGUGAGUAAUACAUCGGAACGUGCCCAGUAAUGGGGGAUAGCUCGGCGAAAGCCGGAUUAAUACCGCAUACGCCCUGAGGGGGAAAGUGGGGGACCGCAAGGCCUCACGUUAUUGGAGCGGCCGAUGGCUGAUUAGCUAGUUGGUAGGGUAAAGGCCUACCAAGGCGACGAUCAGUAGCUGGUCUGAGAGGACGAUCAGCCACACUGGGACUGAGACACGGCCCAGACUCCUACGGGAGGCAGCAGUGGGGAAUAUUGGACAAUGGGCGAAAGCCUGAUCCAGCCAUGCCGCGUGUGUGAAGAAGGCCUUCGGGUUGUAAAGCACUUUAAGCGAGGAGGAAGGUUCGUCACCUAAUACGUGACGGAAUUGACGUUACUCGCAGAAUAAGCACCGGCUAACUCUGUGCCAGCAGCCGCGGUAAUACAGAGGGUGCAAGCGUUAAUCGGAAUUACUGGGCGUAAAGCGCGCGUAGGCGGUUGUGUAAGUUGGAUGUGAAAUCCCCGGGCUUAACCUGGGCACUGCAUUCAAAACUGCACGGCUAGAGUAUUGGAGAGGAAGGUAGAAUUCCAGGUGUAGCGGUGAAAUGCGUAGAGAUCUGGAGGAAUACCGAUGGCGAAG
rnacentral:rRNA from 1 species